AUACGGAGGAUGCGAGCGUUAUCCGGAUUUAUUGGGUUUAAAGGGAGCGUAGGCGGGAGCUUAAGUCAGCGGUUAAAUGGUGCGGCUCAACCGUGCCCUGCCGUUGAAACUGGGUUUCUUGAGAGUGCAAGAGGCGGAUGGAAUUCAUGGUGUAGCGGGGAAAUGCUUAGAUAUCAUGAAGAACUCCGAUUGCGAAGGCAGUCCGCUGGGGCACGUCUGACGCUGAUGCUCGAAGGUGCGGGAAUCAAACAGGAUUAGAUACCCUGGUAGUCCGCACGGUAAACGAUGAUUACCCGCUGUCGGCGGCAGACAGUCGGCGGCCAAGCGAAAGCGAUAAGUAAUCCACCUGGGGAGUACGCCGGCAACGGUGAAACUCAAAUGAAUUGACGGGG
rnacentral:rRNA from 1 species